rnacentral:rRNA from 1 species
UGGGGAAUAUUGCACAAUGGGCGCAAGCCUGAUGCAGCAAUGCCGCGUGAGUGAAGACGGCCUUAGGGUUGUAAACCGCUUUCAGCAGGGAAGAAACUGACGGUACCUGCAGAAGAAGGUGCGGCCAACUACGUGCCAGCAGCCGCGGUGACACGUAGGCACCAAGCGUUAUCCGGAUUUAUUGGGCGUAAAGAGCUCGUAGGCGGUUCGGUAAGUCGGGUGUGAAAAUCCAAGGCUCAACCUUGGGACGCCACCCGAUACUGCUGUGACUCGAGUGCAGUAGGGGGAGCAGGGAAUUCCUGGUGUAGCGGUGAAAGUGCGCAGAUAUCAGGAGGAACACCAGUGGCGAAGGCGCUGCUCUGGGCUGUAACUGACGCUGAGGAGCGAAAGCAUGGGUAGCAAAA